rnacentral:rRNA from 1 species
GUAGUCAUAUGCUUGUCUCAAAGAUUAAGCCAUGCAUGUCUAAGUAUAAGCAAUUAUACAGCGAAACUGCGAAUGGCUCAUUAAAUCAGUUAUCGUUUAUUUGAUAGUACCUUACUACUUGGAUAACCGUGGUAAUUCUAGAGCUAAUACAUGCUAAAAACCCCGACUCACGAAGGGGUGUAUUUAUUAGAUUAAAAGCCAAUGCCCUUCGGGGCUCACUGGUGAUUCAUAAUAACUUGUCGAAUCGCAUGGCCUUGCGCCGGCGAUGGUUCAUUCAAAUUUCUGCCCUAUCAACUUUCGACGGCUGGGUCUUGGCCAGCCAUGGUGACAGCGGGUAACGGAGGGUUAGGGCUCGACCCCGGAGAACGAGCCUGAGAAACGGCUAUUACAUCCAAGGAAGGCAGCAGGCGCGCAAAUUACCCAAUACCGACUCGGUGAGGUAGUGACGAUAAAUAUUGAUACAGGGCUCUUCUGGGUCUUGUAAUUGGAAUGAGUGCAAUUUAAAUCCCUUAACGAGGAACAAUUGGAGGGCAAGUCUGGUGCCAGCAGCC